rnacentral:rRNA from 1 species
AGGCUGGCGGCGGCUUACACAUGCAGUCGAGCGGGGGAAGUAGCUUGCUACUUAACUUAGCGGCGGACGGGUGAGUAAUACUUAGGAAUCUACCUAAUAGUGGGGGACAACAUUUCGAAAGGGAUGCUAAUACCGCAUACGCCCUACGGGGGAAAGCAGGGGACUCUUCGGAGCCUUGCGCUAAUAGAUGAGCCUAAGUCGGAUUAGCUAGUUGGUGGGGUAAAGGCCUACCAAGGCGACGAUCUGUAGCGGGUCUGAGAGGAUGAUCCGCCACACUGGGACUGAGACACGGCCCAGACUCCUACGGGAGGCAGCAGUGGGGAAUAUUGGACAAUGGGGGGAACCCUGAUCCAGCCAUGCCGCGUGUGUGAAGAAGGCCUUUUGGUUGUAAAGCACUUUAAGCGAGGAGGAGGCUCCCAGUAUUAAUACUAUUGGAGAGUGGACGUUACUCGCAGAAUAAGCACCGGCUAACUCUGUGCCAGCAGCCGCGGUAAUACAGAGGGUGCAAGCGUUAAUCGGAUUUACUGGGCGUAAAGCGUGCGUAGGUGGCCAAUUAAGUCAAAUGUGAAAUCCCCGAGCUUAACUUGGGAAUUGCAUUCGAUACUGGUUGGCUAGAGUAUGGGAGAGGAUGGUAGAAUUCCAGGUGUAGCGGUGAAAUGCGUAGAGAUCUGGAGGAAUACCGAUGGCGAAGGCAGCCAUCUGGCCUA